GGACGAAGGAGUCAGAACUGGAGAGGAACAUCAUAGCCUGGAGAAGAAUUAUGGAUGAACCACGCGAGGGAACUGCAAGUAGUCAGAGAAAAUCCUGGUCUCAUGGCAGACCCUGACUGGAGGGGUGGAAGCAGAUUGAAGAUGUUUGGGUGACUCCUGUGCUCUGGUGAGGAGGGAGUGAUAGAGAAGCUUUGAUGGGCACCAGAGACCAGACCAGACCUGACCACCGAAACCACCAAACCACUGGUCUGUUUCCUGUUUUUGGGAUGAGCUCUCAAUCAAACUGUGUGUAUUUAUUAACUUUUUCGCAUUUCAAUAUUUCCUUAAAUGCCCCUUUUAUCAUGAUACCUGGAAAUCACUGUUCUUUGUCAGCAGAUGAUGACAUAUAGCUAUUGAUACCAACAAACACCUGAAUUUAACAAAUGCAUCUCUCUUUCAUCAGGUUGUCUAAUCACAGCCUGCCUGUGGCCUGAGGCUGUGAGUGUUUCUGACUUACUUGCAAAGUAGGAAAUAAUAUUUAUGUGGGAACUAUGUGAUUCUGCCCAGAAACUAUCAUAUAAAUAACUUAUAUAUGAAGGUUUCUUUAAAGGACUGUCUAUUCUGUAGCUGAUUUUGUCCCAUUUCUUCCCAUGGUGCUUGAACUUCCUAAUACUAGGAUGAAACUGGUCUAUUUAAACAAGCUUGUAGCAGAGAAUCUUUGGGGAAAAAAGAUCUGGAUUUUUUUUUCUGUAUA